rnacentral:lncRNA from 1 species
AAUUUUAAUUUGUCUCUAGCUAUUGUUUGGUUGGGGUUAAGGGGUGGAAUAACCUCUUAAGGUUAAGGGGUGGAAUAACCCUUAACCCCCAUUUUAUUCUCAAAUAUUUCUAAAAAUGGAUGGGAUUAGAUCCCAUCUCAAAUGGAUUAUUCCGGAUUAGCUAACCCCACCUAACCCGACCAAAUCCUAAUCAAAUAUUAUUUUCUAUUCAUAAUAACCCACUAUCCUUCUUAUCUCACAUACUCCAACCAAACACUAUUUUUCACUAUCCUGAACUAACUCCAACCUCCAACCAAACACAAAAAUACUCUGACCCCAUCUUAACUCUAAACUUAACCCUAUCCCUGAAAUAACUAAUUUUUUCUUACCCCGAACCAAACGGUUACAGUUUAGCAUGUAUUUACUAUGCUAUUUACAGUUCAAAAAUU